AUGCUGCAGGUUCAAAUAGAGAAUAAAGGUAUACCCAUGAUGAUAGAUACUGGAGCCACUUACACAUGUGUGAGUUCAAAUUAUGCCUCUCAUCUCCCCAUGUCUGGUAAAUAUGCCAAAACAAUAGGAUUCUCGGGAAAUACGCAGCUGAUUCCAAUGACCGCUCCAGUUCGUCUUACCGCUGAUGGCAAGUCAACCACAAUUCCAAUACUGGUAUCAGAUCAAACACCGGUUAAUCUUUUAGGAAGAGAUGCCCUAUGCAAAAUGGGUAUACAAAUUAAAUGUUCCCCCGACGGGGUGAUAAUAGAAAAAAUAGGACUACAAUUGCCAGUGGUAAGCACAGGAGUCAUGGCCAACGUAUAUUGGUUAGGAGGAAUUGAGACAGAUGUAGACAGAACAGCGAGGAGAUGGGGUAAAUUUAUUCAGGCCCAAAUACCUAAAGCCGUUAGAGCAAAAUCUGAAUAUCACUGCACAAUGCAAUUUGACCCUCAUCAGGACCCAUUAUUAGAACAGUUCUGGGUUAUGGGGGCAAAUGGUAGAAAAGCACCAAUUAUGUCCCAAUGUAUAAUCAUUGGAGAACAGGGAGCAGCCAUGGAUGUGAUGGACGGAGAUGGAUCUGAAUUUGUACAGAAAUGGUUUAAUGUUUCUGACUCUGUCCCUCACAUUACAUUGCUGGUGAAUCAAGGUUUCACAUCAAAAGAUCUAGGACCCAUGAUGAGGAAAGCUAAAGGAAAAAUAUGGGACAGAACAGACAAUCCAUUGAUUUUCCAUUCCAAAAAUACCUGGAUACAGAGGGGAGCCUCUAUUGAUAGACAUGGGGUAUGGAGAACACAUGAUGGUGCCAUACUUGCCACCACCACCUUAUUGGUUUUGCUUAUUAAUGAUGCACAUGAUCUAGAUCAUUGUGCAAGGGGGGAGGUGGUAAGACAAAUCAGAAAACAAGGUUUUUGGUCUCCUUAUCUACAGGCAACAGUAGAUGAGAUCCUGUCAAAAUGUGAAAUAUGCGCGAAAAACUACAUACGUAAAGGCAUAACCACGCCCAUAGGUCACAUACCGGUCCCAGAAGGUCCAUUCCGACACAUUGUGAUGGACUACGUAGAUAUGAUAAAACCUGCAUAUGGUAAAAGAUACAUGUUAGUCAUCAUAGACAGGUUUAGCAGGUGGAUAUAA
rnacentral:lncRNA from 8 species